rnacentral:rRNA from 1 species
CAGCAGUCGCCGCGGGAAUACAGAGGGUGCGAGCGUUAAUCGGAUUUACUGGGCGUAAAGCGUGCGUAGGCGGCUUCUUAAGUCGGGUGUGAAAUCCCUGAGCUUAACUUAGGAAUUGCAUUCGAUACUGGGAAGCUAGAGUAUGGGAGAGGAUGGUAGAAUUCCAGGUGUAGCGGUGAAAUGCGUAGAGAUCUGGAGGAAUACCGAUGGCGAAGGCAGCCAUCUGGCCUAAUACUGACGCUGAGGUACGAAAGCAUGGGGAGCAAACAGGAUUAGAUACCCCUGUAGUCCCUGUCUCUUAUAC